rnacentral:rRNA from 1 species
AUCAACUUUCGAUGGUAGGAUAGAGGCCUACCAUGGUGGUAACGGGUAACGGGGUGUUAGGGCACGACACCGGAGAGGGAGCCUGAGAAACGGCUACCACAUCCAAGGAUGGCAGCAGGCGCGCAAAUUACCCAAUCCCGACACGGGGAGGUAGUGACAAUAAAUAACAAUACGGGGUCCUUUCGGGUUUCGUAAUUGGAAUGAGUACAAUUUAAAUCUCUUAACGAGGAACAAUUGGAGGGCAAGUCUGGUGCCAGCAGCCGCGGUAAUUCCAGCUCCAAUAGCGUAUAUUAAAGUUGUUGCAGUUAAAAAGCUCGUAGUUGAAUUUCGGGAUUAGUACGUUGGUCGUGCCUUCGGUACGUACUGGUGUUACUGAUUCCUACCUUCUGACGAACCAUCAUGUCAUUAAUUUGGUGUGGUGGGAAAUCAGGACUGUUACUUUGAAAAAAUUAGAGUGUUUAAAGCAGGCUCGCGCUUGAAUACAUUAGCAUGGAAUAAUGAAAUAGGACGUUGACCCUAUUUUGUUGGUUUCUAGGAUUGACGUAAUGAUUAAUAGGGAUAGUUGGGGGCAUUAGUAUUCAAUUGUCAGAGGUGAAAUUCUUGGAUUUAUUGAAGACUAACUACCGCGAAAGCAUUUGCCAAGGAUGUUUUUAUUAAUCAAGAACGAAAGUUAGGGGAUCGAAGACGAUCAGAUACCGUCGUAGUCUUAACCAUAAACUAUGCCGACUAGGGAUCGGAUGAUGUUAUUUUUAAUGACUCAUUCGGCGCCUUACGGGAAACCAAAGUGUUUGGGUUC